GCGCAAGUGGCGGAAUGGCAGACGCAUCGGAUUUAGGUUCCGACGCCUCGCGGCGUGGGGGUUCAAGUCCCUCCUUGCGCA
rnacentral:tRNA from 1 species